rnacentral:lncRNA from 1 species
AACUUCUAAACAACGUCGGUUCCAAAUAAAUGAGAGCCGUAUUACAGAACAUAUAGACGGCGUUGAUUAUGAUGAGAGCCGUAUUACAAAUAACGUCGUUUAAUUGAUAUUAGAUGGCGGUUAUAAUGAAUUACCGUCGGAAUUCAUUUCGUUCCUCUUCGUUUAUAAAAGAACUUGCGACGUGGAAAAUGUAUGAUGACGUCGUAUUUUUUAACGUUC